rnacentral:rRNA from 1 species
CCUACGGGAGGCAGCAGUGGGGAAUAUUGCACAAUGGGGGAAACCCUGAUGCAGCGACGCCGCGUGAGUGAAGAAGUAUUUCGGUAUGUAAAGCUCUAUCAGCAGGGAAGAAGAAAGACGGUACCUGACUAAGAAGCCCCGGCUCACUACGUGCAAGCAGCCGCGGGAAUACGUAGGGGGCAAGCGUUAUCCGGAUUUACUGGGGGUAAAGGGAGCGUAGACGGCUGUGCAAGUCUGAAGUGAAAGCCCAGGGCUCAACCCUGGGACUGCUUUGGAAACUGUGGAGCUAGAGUGCUGGAGAGGUAAGUGGAAUGCCUGGUGUAGCGGUGAAAUGCGUAGAUAUUAGGAGGAACACCAGUGGCGAAGGCGGCUUACUGGACAGUAACUGACGUUGAGGCUCGAAAGCGUGGGGAGCAAACAGGAUUAGAUACCCGUGUAGUC